rfam:Triticum aestivum genome assembly, contig: Triticum_aestivum_CS42_TGACv1_scaffold_428999_5BS
GAAUGCGAUCGUACCAGCACUAAAGCACCGGAUCCCAUCAGAACCACGAAGUUAAGCGUGCUUGGGCGAGAGUAGUAUUAGGAUGGGUGACCUCCUGGGAAGUCCUCGUGUUGCAUUCC